CAGUGGUAGGCUUCGGCCUCAUUCACACCCCCUUGUGUAACCUCUGGUUUCUUUGGCGAUGUCGCUCGUCAAACUUUUAACUCUGAGAAUGUGGUACUGUCCGAGUGCGAUUGAAUUAUCA
rnacentral:misc_RNA from 1 species